UUGAUCCCUUUGGGGCCUGGCACUUCUCUAUCUCCCUCACCACUUCUUCUUCCACCUCCGGCCGCUGCCGCGGCCAGGCCGGCAUGGCGGCGCGCCACCCAGUACCUCCACCCGCUCCACAACGCCGCCGCACCGCGCCACCCAGUACCUCCACCCGCUCCACAACGCCGCCGCACCUCCACCCGCGCUACCACAACCCAUCCAUCCACCGGCGCCAUCACAUCCAGCCACCAUCACCUCGCGCGCCCUACCAGACUAGAGGUUCUGGUUGUAUGGUGCCCUGCGCGAGUCUGUCCUCCCUCUCUCUUGUUGCUGCUCCUCCCUCUUGCUUCGUCCCGCUGCUCCUCUUCUUCCCCUCGCCUUCCUCAACUGUUGCUUCUCCCUUCUUCCCCCAAACUCUGCUGCUGCAUCUUCCUUCUUCUCCUUGUCCCUACUACUGCUGAACCACUCCUCCUCUUAUUGUGUCUCUGCUGGUCGCUGCUCCCCUACUGCCGAUCCUUUCCUCAACUCUCUCUACUUCUCCUCUCAUGCCACUCCUGCUGCUUCUCCUCAACGCCCCUGCUGCCUCUGAUUCUUCUCUUAACUAGAACCCUUGCUGUUCUCUCUCUCUCUCUCUCCCUAAAUUUUCUGUAUAAUUGAGAUUGUGUAAGACAUGCAAGGUUCAGAUUUGAGUGUGUCUCAUGUAAUAGUUCAUAUUAUAGCUUGUGAAUUUUGUGUUGAAUGUGCUCUCUAUUAGGCAAGCAAUAUGUUUGAUUUCCAAUUCCUGUGAUAGCUCCUUAAUUUUCAUAAAUAUAUGUUCUCUUGUGAAAGAUUUCUGUUCUUGUCCCGUUAUCUUUGUUCUGUCUUUUUCUUAUAUAUAAUUGCUAGUUAUCUUUGUGAUCGUAUCUUGUUACUUCUUUUCUGUCGAUGAUGAUGACCUGUGUUAGUAUUUUAGAUUGUCUCAAGUAAAGCAAAAUUACCAAAAAGAUAAUGAGUAAAAAUCUGAUUCACCCUUUGCUUAUUUUGCAUUUUCUUUGGCGAUGAUCUUAGGGAACUACCUUGUUUAAUUUAGGUUUAUAUUUCCUUGCAAUCAUCUUCUAAAUUGUGUUAGCUAGCUUUAGCCAAAUAUAGUUUCCGUCGCCUAGUCCCUGUGGAGAACACGACAUCCGUAGUUUGGGCAAAAUAUUCCACUACAUUUACAAUCGAUCAUUUUGGCGCCGUUGCCGGGGACUAGCGUCAUGCGAUUGUGUUAGGCUAUAGACUAGGUUUUUCUUCUUUCUCUAGUUUGUGCCAUAUAUUUGUGAUAUAUCUCUAACCACUAACCCAUGUUCUAGCUAGUAUCUUUUUGUUUUCUUUUCCUUUUGCAGGUUAGAGCUAUCUACUCGGUUAUGUCAUAUUAUUCAGAUUGUCUCGGAGAUGCGAGGAACACUACAAACAUCACACAAAGUAUUCAAGAACUGAUAAGGCCAUUCACCCGUUGAAUGUCAGCGUGGUUACUCUCACCCUCCCGAUUGUUAUGGCAUGAGCUUCGCCCCACAACUAGCUCAUACCAAAACAAUUACUCAUAUGGGUGGCCUGAAAACCAGAAUAUGUCAUAUAGGAACAACAGCCCUGAAAUCUCAUCAUUUGCCUCUAGUUAUCCAUUGCAGGGAAUUAGGUACAAUGAGGAGAGCAACAACUAUGCACCACAACAAUUUUAUUCAGCUCCUAUUCAUGUACCUCAACACCGGAAGAUGUGUCCAAUGGAGUUAAAUGGUCCUCCAUUUGGUCAACCAACACCUUCAACACAAGUGCCCAAACAAGAUGAGUUCGAUGACAUAGACAAGCUCGCACUUUUGAGUCUCGAGUUCACUUGGAGUGCCGAGGAUGAUCCUAUUAGGAAGGUUAUACUAGAGUAAAUGAAGAAGAUCAAGAGUGGGAAUGAGCUAGUGGAAGAAGUGAAGAAGAUUGAGAAUAACAUCAACGCUGGCAGUACUAUUUCUUCACAGCUUGAGCUGAGUAAUUCUCGGAUUCCCCUUGAUACAUGUGAGGUUCCAAUACCGUCACAUCUAGCUGAGCAAGAUAGCAAGUGCCUUGAGCAAGAGAUACCUCAGAUUGAAGAAGAUGAACUAGAAGACAAGGAACAAGAUGAUCAAGAGCUGCAAUUCCCAAGUGAUCAAGUUGAAGACUCAUCAUCUACUACUCCUGAAGAAGUACAAGAAGCUGCUGUAGAUGAAGAUGAAGAACCUGAGAUUCAUUGGCCUAUUGUCAUACAUGAGCGUGAUGUGUCAGGUUUACCCAAUCCUCUUGAUGACAUGCUUCCGUAUAAUUUCUUUGCUACUACCUUACGUUACAUGAUACCAUCACUUAGGAUUGAUUUGAAAACUCAUUUGCUUGGAUAUGAUGAUAUAUACACUGUUAGUGGCAUUACUCUCAUUUGUGAUGAUCAUAGUUAUUUUCCUCGUGCUAGUCCUAUGCUUAAUGAAACAUAUAAUUCCCAUGCUAGUCUUGAGCUUAAUGAUAAAUAUCAUCCUCAUGUUAGUGUUGAACUUGCCGAUUUCUACCAUCCUAAACAUGUGCUUUAUAGCUAUGCUUAUGUAAUUGAAUAUUCGAUUGAUGACUUGGAGGGUAUUAUCCCUCCACUUGCAUUGUCUCUUUCAUUGAGUGCUCUUUCAGGUUCUUGCUUGUGCAUGAAUCACUACAUGCUAACCAGGUUCGAGGUGACAUUCCUUGGGACCUUGGUGGAUCCUGAGCACGGAGAUGAGGAUAAGCAAUGGGCACACACGUGAGGAAGGGAGAAGCUAGAGCAGGCAUGAGGAUAGAUAAGCAAAAGGAGAGGAGCUGCAGUUGGUGAGGUGAUCGAGCGAGUGCUACAUCAUCAAUGCCCAGUGAGCUGUUUCAUGACCCAUUUUGAAAUCACCAUCCAUUGAUGCUUGUUGAAUUAAAUUGCUAUUUGGGUUGCUUGUGCCAUUUCUUAAAUGUCGUCCCACUGAAUUUCACCUUUGACAUAUGGUGCUUGAUGAGAAUAUGCGAACUGAUUGUUGAAUGCCUAGUAAACUAGUGAUCUACACCCUGUUUGCUUUGCUGAAAGUAGUGAAAGCUAUUAGUUUUGAGUUCUCAAAUCCCUAGUGCACUAGUAAACUUAAUCAUUUUCUGCUUUUACCUUGAUACACUUAGAUCAUUAAGUGUUAGAUGCUGAGUUUGUGCCUAUUGUGUUCCCAUUGAGAGCAAUCACUUUACCACUAUGGACUAGUAUGCUAUGUUCCCUGGAUCGGUAGCAUGUGAACCAGACAUGGAGAAGUGAUGAUUCCUGUUUUUGUGCUUAUGCGUUGUUCAUUUAAGAUAAGUAAUAAUGAAUAAAUCAGUCUGACUACCUACAAUAGCAUGUCAUGUUCCCUGGAUCGGUGGCAUGUGAAAUCGGUUUAGCUUGGGCAGUAAUUAAUAAUAAAAAUUGUAAUUGUCAAACCAGGUGUAUACCAUGUUCUCUGGAUUGGUGGUAUGUUCCUUUGGGGAGACAAACAAAAAAACUAAUAAUUGGUCGAGCCGGGUGUAUACCAUGUUCUCGGGAUCGGUGGUAUGUUCCUUUGGUGAGAUCGAUAAAAUAUUAUCAUUGCUUUAUUUCUGUAAAUAAGCGAUCUGAUCACAAGUGUAUGUUCUUUUUGUUCUCGGGAUCAUGCUCUCUUUAGGACCCUUUGGCACAAUCAUCAUUUGAACUAGUUGAUCUUCUUUUAUCAUUGUAGAAGUUUAAAAUGGUCAAGUCUACUAGUAUCCUACCACUUUGAAGCACUCCUAACCAUUAAUUUUCACUAGCUAAGUCCAAAGCAUGGACUGUUUAGAGAUCUACUUCACUUGGCAUUCUCUAGUCAGCUCAUUGUUCACAUUCUUGCUCUUGUCAUAUGCCUUUGCUUGAGGACAAGCAAAAGUUUAAGUGUGGGGGAACUUGAUCAACACAUUUUAUAUACAUCUCUUGGCCCUCAAAUGUACGGUUCACUGAGAUAUAUUCAUUCAUUUCGUGCUAUGAAUUAUUCCAUAUUUGAAUGAAAAUCAUAUAAAAGGAUCAUUUACUUGUGACUUGUUUCUUUUGCAGAAAAGUGUGCAAAGGCACUAUAAUCGUCAAGAUUUCUACUAUGUGGCUAACGAGAAGAGAGAAGGGCAGGAAAGAAAUACGUCAAGGACCUGAGUGUGAAGGAAAGAAGUAAUCUAGGGGAGCAAACUAAAAAAAGAGGAGGAUCUUCUUGGGCAGAAAUGAAGAGAAGAGGAGGGCCAAUGUGCAAAUGUGGCAACUCAGAGUGGGGAACAAAAUCCCUAGCCGCAACACUUGAUCCCUUUGGGGCCUAGCACUUCUCUCUCUCCCUCACCACUUCUUCUUCCACCACCGGCCGCCGCCGCGGCCAGGCCGGUGUGGCGGCGCGCCACCCAGUACCUCCACCAGCUCCACUACGCCGCAGCACCUCCACCCGCGCUACCGCAACCCAUCCAUCCACCGACACCAUCACAUCCAGCCACCAUCACCUCGCGCUCCCUACCAGACUAGAGGUCGUGGUUGUAUGGUGCCCUGCGCGAGUCUUACCUCCCUCUCUCUUGUUGCUGCUCCUCCCUCUUGCUUCGUCCUGCUGCUUCUCUUCUUCCCCUUGCCUUCCUCAACUGCUGCUGCUCCCUUCUUCCCCCAAACUCUUCUGCUGCAUCUUCCUUCUUCUCCUUGUCCCUACUACUACUGCUGAACCGCUCCUCCUCUUGCUGUGACUCUGCUGCUCGCUGCUCCCCUACUGCUGAUCCUUUCCUCAACUCUCUCUGCUCCUUCUCUCAUGCCACUGCUGUUGCUCCUCCUCAACGCCCCCUGCUGCCUCUCAUUCUUCUCUUAACUAGAACCCUUGCUAUUCUCCCUCUCUCUCUCCCUGAAUUUUCUAUAUAAUUGAGAUUGUGUAAGACGUGCAAGGUUCAGAUUUGAGUGUGUGUCAUGUAAUAGUUCAGAUUAUAGCUUGUGAAUUUUGUGUUGAAUGUGCUCUCUGUUAGGUAAGCAAUAUGAAUGUAUUUGAUUUCCAGUUCCUGUCAUAGCUCCUUAAUUGUGAUAAAUAUAUGUUCGGUUGUGAAACAUUUCUGUUCU